GAUGAACGCUGGCGGCGUGCCUAAUACAUGCAAGUCGAGCGAACAGACGAGGAGCUUGCUCCUCUGACGUUAGCGGCGGACGGGUGAGUAACACGUGGAUAACCUACCUAUAAGACUGGGAUAACUUCGGGAAACCGGAGCUAAUACCGGAUAAUAUAUUGAACCGCAUGGUUCAAUAGUGAAAGACGGUUUUGCUGUCACUUAUAGAUGGAUCCGCGCCGCAUUAGCUAGUUGGUAAGGUAACGGCUUACCAAGGCAACGAUGCGUAGCCGACCUGAGAGGGUGAUCGGCCACACUGGAACUGAGACACGGUCCAGACUCCUACGGGGGGCAGCAGUAGGGAAUCUUCCGCAAUGGGCGAAAGCCUGACGGAGCAACGCCGCGUGAAUGAUGAAGGUCUUCGGAUCGUAAAACUCUGUUAUUAGGGAAGAACAAAUGUGUAAGUAACUAUGCACGUCUUGACGGUACCUAAUCAGAAAGCCACGGCUAACUACGUG
rnacentral:rRNA from 1 species